UGCAACAAAGAGGGGAGAGCUGCAGGAAGAGAUCUCACUCUGCUUCAAAUUCUGCAUUUUUUUUGCAUUCGACCCACUGCAGCUUUAAAUGGGAAGCACCGCUAA